GUGAAUCAUCGAAUUUUUGAACGCAAAUUGCACUCUCUGGUAUUCCGGAGAGUAUGCCUGUUUGAGGAUCAAUUUAAAUAAAAAUCGGUGUGUUGGCUGCCUUUCAUGAUUACGCACCGGAUUUGGUUCGUCUUGCCUUCGUUUAGUGGACCUAUAAUUUUGCAUGAUUUGUUUCGAACUUAUUUAGAUGAUUUUACGUACGGUUUCGAUAUCUAUUACUAGUUGUGGUCAU
rnacentral:misc_RNA from 1 species